UGGGGAAUUUUGGACAAUGGGCGAAAGCCUGAUCCAGCAAUGCCGCGUGUGUGAAGAAGGCCUUCGGGUUGUAAAGCGCUUUUGUCCGGAAAGAAAUCCUUGGCUCUAAUACAGUCGGGGGAUGACGGUACCGGAAGAAUAAGCACCGGCUAACUACGUGCCAGCAGCCGCGGUAAUACGUAGGGUGCAAGCGUUAAUCGGAAUUACUGGGCGUAAAGCGUGCGCAGGCGGUUUGCUAAGACCGAUGUGAAAUCCCCGGGCUCAACCUGGGAACUGCAUUGGUGACUGGCAGGCUAGAGUAUGGCAGAGGGGGGUAGAAUUCCACGUGUAGCAGUGAAAUGCGUAGAGAUGUGGAGGAAUACCGAUGGCGAAGGCAGCCCCCUGGGCCAAUACUGACGCUCAUGCACGAAAGCGUGGGGAGCAAAACAGGAUUAGAUACCCUGGUAGUCCACGCCCUAAAACGAUGUCAACUAGUUGUUGGGGAUUCAUUUCCUUAGUAACGUAGCUAACGCGUGAAGUUGACCGCCUGGGGAGUACGGUCGCAAGAUUAAAACUCAAAUGAAUUGACGGGGUCAUAGCUGUUUCCU
rnacentral:rRNA from 1 species